CCUACGGGAGGCAGCAGUGGGGAAUCUUGCGCAAUGGGCGGAAGCCUGACGCAGCAACGCCGCGUGAGGGAUGACGGCCUUCGGGUUGUAAACCUCUUUCGCGAUCGACGAAGGUUCAUCUUCUGGGUGGGCUGACGGUAGGUCGAGAAGAAGCACCGGCCAACUACGUGCCAGCAGCCGCGGUAAUACGUAGGGUGCGAGCGUUGUCCGGAAUUAUUGGGCGUAAAGGGCUCGUAGGCGGUUUGUCGCGUCGGGAGUGAAAUCACUGGGCUCAACCGAGUGUGUGCUUUCGAUACGGGCAGACUGGAGGCAUUCAGGGGAGAACGGAAUUCCUGGUGUAGCGGUGAAAUGCGCAGAUAUCAGGAGGAACACCGGUGGCGAAGGCGGUUCUCUGGGAAUGUCCUGACGCUGAGGAGCGAAAGUGUGGGGAGCGAACAGGAUUAGAUACCCUGGUAGUCCACACCGUAAACGUUGGGCGCUAGGUGUGGGAUCCUCUUCAUGGGUUCCGUGCCGCAGCUAACGCAUUAAGCGCCCCGCCUGGGGAGUACGGCCGCAAGGCUAAAACUCAAAUGAAUUGACGGGG
rnacentral:rRNA from 1 species